rnacentral:rRNA from 1 species
CAGGAUGAACGCCAGCUAUAGGCUUAACACAUGCAAGUCGAGGGGCAGCGAAUAGAUAGCUUGCUAUUUAUGUCGGCGACCGGCGCACGGGUGAGUAACGCGUAUCCAACCUGCCCAUAACUAAGGGAUAACCCAGCGAAAGUUGGACUAAUACCUUAUGUAUUCGUUUGAUCUCAUGAGAUUGCGAAUAAAGAUUUAUCGGUUAUGGAUGGGGAUGCGUCUGAUUAGCUUGUUGGCGGGGUAACGGCCCACCAAGGCAACGAUCAGUAGGGGUUCUGAGAGGAAGGUCCCCCACAUUGGAACUGAGACACGGUCCAAACUCCUACGGGAGGCAGCAGUGAGGAAUAUUGGUCAAUGGACGCAAGUCUGAACCAGCCAAGUAGCGUGCAGGAUGACGGCCCUAUGGGUUGUAAACUGCUUUUAUAUGGGGAUAAAGUGGGGAACGUGUUCUCUUUUGCAGGUACCAUAUGAAUAAGGACCGGCUAAUUCCGUGCCAGCCGCCGCGGUAAAAGGG